AUUGAACGCUGGCGGCAUGCUUUACACAUGCAAGUCGAACGGUAACAGGUUAAGCUGACGAGUGGCGAACGGGUGAGUAAUGCAUCGGAACGUGCCCGAUCGUGGGGGAUAACGCAGCGAAAGCUGCGCUAAUACCGCAUACGAUCUGAGGAUGAAAGCGGGGGACCGUAAGGCCUCGCGCGAUCGGAGCGGCCGAUGUCAGAUUAGGUAGUUGGUGGGGUAAAGGCUCACCAAGCCAACGAUCUGUAGCUGGUCUGAGAGGACGACCAGCCACGCUGGGACUGAGACACGGCCCAGACUCCUACGGGAGGCAGCAGAGGGGAAUUUUGGACAAUGGGCGAAAGCCUGAUCCAGCAAUGCCGCGUGCAGGAAGAAGGCCUUCGGGUUGUAAACUGCUUUUGUACGGAGCGAAAAGGUCCCCUCUAAUACAGGGGGUUCAUGACGGUACCGUAAGAAUAAGCACCGGCUAACUACGUGCCAGCCGCCGCCGUAA
rnacentral:rRNA from 1 species